rnacentral:miRNA from 1 species
AUUUCUAAAAUUUUAAAACUGCCAGGAAAUGUAGACUUUGAGAUGACCAAAUUCCCACAAUUUCAAUUUAGUCAUCUCAAAGUCUACAUUUCCUGGCAGUUUUAAAAUUUUAGAAAU